rnacentral:lncRNA from 1 species
GCAUCUCUGAUUAUGCCUGCUCUUCAGUAAGUCUUCCAUGAACGGUGCACCUGAAUGCCUGUCUUUGCAAAGAGUCCUGGUUCUCUGACUGCACAAAUCUGUCCACUUCUUUAAAGGUUGCAUCAUCCCUGUCCUCUGAAGCCCUCGUCACGCUGCUGACUUGCAAGGAGCCGAGUAGCGUGAUCAGCAGCGCAGAGACGUGGAAGCUUUUCAUCCAGAAAGUCGCGGGAGUUCUGGAGGCUGCUCUGUCAGCGUACUCCAACAGCAACCUCAGUGACCAUCAGCCUGAGUCCCGUAUUCUCGAUGCCAUUGCAGAGGUGAAAGUCAACAACUUCAGCGCCAUUCUCGAUGCCAUUGGAGAGGUGAAAGUCAACAACUUCAAUGCCACACAACUUACAGAUGUCAGCUUCAUUACCGACUGGUUCCAGGGAAGGCUGAGACCAUUCUUGCCAGCAGUCUCCAGUGAUUUCCUGUUCUGCCUUAGCUCCAAGAACUUUAGUUGCGACACCUACCAAGUUGUGUAAGUAUCUUCAGUGCUCUGUAAAUCCCGAAGUGGUAGUCAGGGGAGUGGAGUUGAGCAAUCCGUAACGGCCGACGAUCUUUCCCGAAUUAGGGUGCAGGCUCUCAGUCGUCAAGCGUCCCUCAUGGAGGUGGGACAACAACGGGUCGUCUUCACUGAUUUUGUCCAUCCCUUCCUCUCGAGAGAUGACCUACCAGAUCCUGCCUGUCUUGCCAAUAUUACGAGCAGCGCUGACUGGCUGGAGAAGAACUUUGGCAACUUCUCCGUCUACGCUACCUUGGAGGAUUUGCAAACGCUGAAUGAAAAUUUCUCCAGCUUUGCAUCGUUGGAGGUUCUGAGCCCUAGCCAAGUAGCUGAACUGACACUGAGCUCCGGAGCGUUGAACAACACCAAUCAGAUCGACGCUGUGUUCGACCGCCUGGAGAAUGGCAACGCUUUUAAGAAUGUGGAGGAGUUUCUGACGGCUCUAACCGCAUCUCCUGAGAUUCCCGAUAUCACCCCGGCUGUGAGAGACGUGAUGAUGAACCGAACCUUCGUAAUCAUUGAACUGAAGUUCCAGGAAUUUGUGGCUCAUGACUGGGAAGUGUGGUUCACCGAGAAGCUCAUCCCUGUCCUCCCCAGUUUCACCGCAGAAAUGCUGCUUAAGGUCACAGCUGACAUCAACUGCACCAACUACCAUAUGAUGUGAGUGAUUCUAUAUAUUAUUUCUUUAAAUGUUUUGAUUU